rnacentral:snRNA from 1 species
GACAUAUCGAGUUAUAACCAAACCUAUGAAAAUUUCAGAGAAGAUUAGCAUGGCCCCUGCGCAAGGAUGACACGCAAAAUCGUGAAGCGUUCCACAUUUUU